rnacentral:rRNA from 1 species
AAGGAUCAUUAUUGAAAUAAACUGAUGGGUUGUUGCUGGUUCUCUAGGGAGCAUGUGCACACCUUGUCAUCUUUAUAUCUCCACCUGUGCACCUUUUGUAGGCCUUUCAGGUCUAUGUUGCUUCAUUUACCCCCAAUGUAUGUUAAUAGAAUGUAGUGCUUUAUAAAAAAAAACUAUACAACUUUCAGCAACGGAUCUCUUGGCUCUCGCAUCGAUGAAGAACGCAGCGAAAUGCGAUAAGUAAUGUGAAUUGCAGAAUUCAGUGAAUCAUCGAAUCUUUGAACGCACCUUGCGCUCCUUGGUAUUCCGAGGAGCAUGCCUGUUUGAGUGUCAUUAAUAUAUAUAUCAACCCUCUCUUGUUGAGUGGUUUGGAUGUGGGGGUUUGCUGGCUUCUUUAAAGGGUUCAGCUCUCCUGAAAUGCAUUAGCAGAACAAACCUGUUCAUUGGUGUGAUAAAUAUCUACGCUACUGAAUGUGAGGGGAAGUUCAGCUUUCUAACAGUCUUUGGACAAAUUAUCAUUUAUGUGACCUCAAA